rnacentral:rRNA from 1 species
CCUACGGGAGGCAGCAGUGAGGAAUAUUGGUCAAUGGCCGUAAGGCUGAACCAGCCAAGUAGCGUGAGGGAAGACUGUCCUAUGGGUCGUAAACCUCUUUUAUGCGGGGACAAAGGCGUCCACGUGUGGCCGGUUGUAGGUACCGCAUGAAUAAGCAUCGGCUAAUUCCGUGCCAGCAGCCGCGGUAAUACGGAAGGUUCGGGCGUUAUCCGGAUUUAUUGGGUUUAAAGGGAGCGUAGGCCGGUCUUUAAGCGUGCCGUGAAAUUUUGUGGCUCAACCAUGAGAGUGCGGCGCGAACUGGAGGCCAUGAGUGCGCGGAAGGCAGGCGGAAUUCGUGGUGUAGCGGUGAAAUGCUUGGAUAUCACGAAGAACCCCGAUUGCGAAGGCAGCCUGCCGCAGCGUUACUGACGCUGAAGCUCGACAGCGCGGGUAUCGAACAGGAUUAGAUACCCGAGUAGUC